AUGACCACACAGCGAAACCACCACCGAGCAGCAGCGGAAGAAUUCCCGCUUCACUCGCCGGGCUCCUCCACCGGCUCCGCCGACUCCGCGCCCUGGCACCACCGCGCCCCGGCCACGCCGCCACCUGUGCUUCCGUUCGACACCAGCGACGCCGACGAGAUGCUCCUGCUCAACAUGCUCUCCCAGCACCGCGAGGUCCAGCAAGCCGCGGCCGCACCGACGACGGCGCCGGUGAAUCAAGAGGCCGAUGAGGAGGACAAGGUGGCACUAGGUGUGGAUCGCGCGUUCCGCGGAGUGCGGAAGCGACCGUGGGGCAAGUUCGCGGCCGAGAUCCGGGACUCGACGCGCAACGGCGUGCGGGUCUGGCUGGGCACGUUCGACAGCCCCGAAGCUGCGGCGCUGGCGUACGACCAAGCUGCGUUCGCCAUCCGCGGCGGCGCCGCCGUGCUCAACUUCUCGGCCGACCAGGUCCGGCGCUCUCUCGAGGGCGCCGCUGACGACGUUUGCGGCCGUGCCCAUGGCGUAUCGCCCGUGCUCGCACUCAAGCGGCGGCACUCCAUGCGUAGCCGGAAGGCCACAGCGGUGAGCAAGAAGGCAAGGGCCGCGCGUGGCCAGCCAGAGGGCGUGGUGAUGGAGCUUGAGGACCUGGGUGCGGAGUACCUCGAGCAGCUGCUUGGCGCCUCCGAGGACACGGCGUCCAUGUCUUCAUGGUGCUGGAGCCACCACUCCAUCUGA
rnacentral:rRNA from 1 species